rnacentral:rRNA from 1 species
CCUCGGGCGGCAGCAGUGGGGAAUAUUGGACAAUGGGCGAAAGCCUGAUCCAGCCAUGCCGCGUGUGUGAAGAAGGCCUUCGGGUUGUAAAGCACUUUCAGUGGGGAAGAAAGCCUUGGGGCUAAUACCCUCGAGGAAGGACAUCACCCACAGAAGAAGCACCGGCUAACUCCGUGCCAGCAGCCGCGGUAAUACGGAGGGUGCGAGCGUUAAUCGGAAUUACUGGGCGUAAAGCGCGCGUAGGCGGUCUGAUAAGCCGGUUGUGAAAGCCCCGGGCUCAACCUGGGAACGGCAUCCGGAACUGUCAGGCUAGAGUGCAGGAGAGGAAGGUAGAAUUCCCGGUGUAGCAGUGAAAUGCGUAGAGAUCGGGAGGAAUACCAGUGGCGAAGGCGGCCUUCUGGACUGACACUGACGCUGAGGUGCGAAAGCGUGGGUAGCAAACAGGAUUAGAUACCCCGGUAGUC